AUACUUACCUUGCAGGGGAGGAUACCAUGAUCAUGAAAGUGGUUUUCUCAGGGUGAGACUUACUCAUUGCACUCUGGAUGUGCUGACCCCUAAGAGUUCCCCAAAUGUGGGAAACUCAACUGCAUAAUUUGUGGUCCUGGGGACUGCGUUUGCACUCUCCCUU
ensembl:snRNA U1 U1 spliceosomal RNA